rnacentral:rRNA from 1 species
GAUGAACGCUAGCGGGAGGCCUAACACAUGCAAGCCGAGCGGUAUUGUUUCUUCGGAAAUGAGAGAGCGGCGUACGGGUGCGUAACACGUGUGCAACCUGCCUUUAUCUGGGGGAUAGCCUUUCGAAAGGAAGAUUAAUACUCCAUAAUAUAUUGAACGGCAUCGUUUAAUAUUGAAAGCUCCGGCGGAUAGAGAUGGGCACGCGCAAGAUUAGCUAGUUGGUGAGGUAACGGCUCACCAAGGCGAUGAUCUUUAGGGGGCCUGAGAGGGUGAUCCCCCACACUGGUACUGCGACACGGACCCGACUCCUACGGGAGGCAGCAGUGAGGAAUAUUGGUCAAUGGGUGCAAGCCUGAACCAGCCAUCCCGUGUGAAGGACGACUGCCCUAUGGGUUGUAAACUUCUUUUGUAUAGGGAUAAACCUACCCUCGAGAGGGUAGCUGAAGGUACUAAACGAAUAAGCACCGGCUAACUCCGUG